UUUUUUUUUUUUUUUUUUUUUCUUCCCUCAGACGAACGCUGGCGGCGUGCCUAAUACAUGCAAGUCGUACGCUUCUUUUUCCACCGGAGCUUGCUCCACCGGAAAAAGAAGAGUGGCGAACGGGUGAGUAACACGUGGGUAACCUGCCCAUCAGAAGGGGAUAACACUUGGAAACAGGUGCUAAUACCGUAUAACAAUCGAAACCGCAUGGUUUUGAUUUGAAAGGCGCUUUCGGGUGUCGCUGAUGGAUGGACCCGCGGUGCAUUAGCUAGUUGGUGAGGUAACGGCUCACCAAGGCCACGAUGCAUAGCCGACCUGAGAGGGUGAUCGGCCACAUUGGGACUGAGACACGGCCCAAACUCCUACGGGAGGCAGCAGUAGGGAAUCUUCGGCAAUGGACGAAAGUCUGACCGAGCAACGCCGCGUGAGUGAAGAAGGUUUUCGGAUCGUAAAACUCUGUUGUUAGAGAAGAACAAGGAUGAGAGUAACUGUUCAUCCCUUGACGGUAUCUAACCAGAAAGCCACGGCUAACUACGUGCCAGCAGCCGCGGUAAUACGUAGGUGGCAAGCGUUGUCCGGAUUUAUUGGGCGUAAAGCGAGCGCAGGCGGUUUCUUAAGUCUGAUGUGAAAGCCCCCGGCUCAACCGGGGAGGGUCAUUGGAAACUGGGAGACUUGAGUGCAGAAGAGGAGAGUGGAAUUCCAUGUGUAGCGGUGAAAUGCGUAGAUAUAUGGAGGAACACCAGUGGCGAAGGCGGCUCUCUGGUCUGUAACUGACGCUGAGGCUCGAAAGCGUGGGGAGCAAACAGGAUUAGAUACCCUGGUAGUCCACGCCGUAAACGAUGAGUGCUAAGUGUUGGAGGGUUUCCGCCCUUCAGUGCUGCAGCUAACGCAUUAAGCACUCCGCCUGGAGACGCCGAAGGG
rnacentral:rRNA from 1 species